UUUCAUCGCCCAGCAGAUUUUGAAGAAUACGGAAUUCUCGGUUUAAUCUCUACUUCAAACCAUCAAGGUGAGUUCUCCAUUAAUCUCUACUUCUCUACUGGGUUAUUUUUCUACUCCCAAUUUCCUCUCCAAGAAAUCGAUUCCUGCUCCCAAAGCGUCGAUUCCUUCUCCCAGGGCAACGAUUUCUUCUCCAAUUGCAGGAAUUCACGCUCUUGAAACCACCAAGUUGAGUUCUCCAUUAAUCUCUACUUCUCUACUGUGUUCUUUUCCCACUCUCAAUCAAUCGCCCACUUGAAUCGCUCCUCUUUUGGACAACUGAUUAAAACCAUUGUAUUAUUGUAAUAGAGGAAAACCAGUGCCAAGUUAAGGAUUUUUCUUAUGAUUUUUGGUUUCUGCUUCCAUUGAUUAAACCCAUUAGGGUUUUCUUCUCUUCCACUCUUGCUCAAUCUUCUCCUUUAAAGUUGCUGAUGAUUUCUGGACAUUCGCAAUGGCCGCCUAAGAGCUUUCGUCUUAGMCAGGCUUGAGAGCUAAAAUGUUGCUUUGCUCCUAUCUUGGAUGUCUGAAGUUUAUUUAGAAAUUUGUUUUGAUAUUGGGUUMUCAGUGAUGAUUGCAUAGACGAUAUAUCCAUUCUAUUCAUCAUGAAGACGAAUCAAGGCAUUCAGGUAAGCCUUCAUCUUUGUAUGCUGACAUUCAGGUAAGCUACUAUCUCCAUUUUUAUCUUCGUUGAAGACAUUCAGGUAAGCUUUCAUUAUAGAUCACAUUUCCCUAUCCAUUUCGGGUUUUUGGUUUUAUUUGAAUUUAGGUUAGAUUGAAUUUGGUUUUCCUAUCCUUUCAUYUAUGGAUUUCACAUGUUUUGUUAAUUCCUUUAGGSAUCAUUUAUAGUGAUUUGRAGAAGUAUUUUAAUGUAAUCUACUAAUGUAUAUACAUCAUAGAAAAUAACUUGGUUUGUUCAAGAUCUUCCAGCAAAAUCUGCUCCAAACCCAUGUCAGGGAGUCUGCUUCAAGGGUUUCAACCCUUUAAAAAAACAGCCUACUUCUUGUCUCCUUUCAAACAAAUUAUCUCCGUCACUAGAGCAAGAACCAUUUUGGGGCUUUCAUCACUCCAUUACAGGUUUCUGAAAUGGUGGCUGACAAGGGUAAGAAACCCGAGAUUGGAGAGAAAAUCGUGGAGGACAAUACUGAGCAAAUCAUGAGCUUGUUAUAUCCAUUGCAAAGUUGUCGGAGGUCCAAGAUGAACUUGAAAAGGUACUUGUUGUUUUCUUGUGGCUUGUCAAUUUUCAUGUGGGUUUUCAAGAAAUUCAAGUUUUGAAAAACAUAUGCAAAAUUCUUGCUAAAUACUUAAACAUACAUGGCAAUUCGUCUUCAAUUUUGUAUGAGCAUUUUCAUAAAUUUGACACUUUUGAACUUAAUUUUGUGUUUUAGUUAAUCAAUUGACUCCACUAUACUCCUGAGUUUUAUAUAAUUGGGAGGAUCCUUGAUGCAUAGGUUCCUGUUUUUGCUAUUUGCUGAAUCUUUCUUGGUUUACUUUAUUGUUGAUUGCCCUUUACAUGCUAUGCCAUAAAAAAUUAUUAUGGAUUUGCUUGCUACCUCAUUGGGCCAGAGUUCCUGGGUUGUUUGUGAAUUUAAUAUAAUGGGUUUGCUUACUGAAAAAGGAUCUCAAUUUGGGGGUUAUGUUAGAUUAUAGGGUUAUAUAUUGUCCCCUGCUGUGCAAAAUUGGAAGCACAUAUUAUGUUAUCAUAGGUUGGCGAAACCGGUGCUGAAGGAACAGUAAAAGUUGCCACAAAACGAUUUUCAUUCAACCAUAUGCAUUGGUUCUUGUUCAUUCAGCCAUAGAUUAAAGUGAUUUGAUUUCAAAUAGKUGUUUACUUUUCAAUUUUGAUGCUCGGACC